UCGGGUAUGGUGUAACGGCUAACAUUGCCGCCUCUCAUAACGCAAUACGGCAAGUUCGGAGUGUCGCGGCAGCUCGGGGUUCGAUUCCCCGUACCCGAA